AAUAGAUACCCGGGUAGUCCACGCCGUAAACGUUGGGCGCUAGAUGUGGGGACCUUUCCACGGUUUCCGUGUCGUAGCUAACGCAUUAAGCGCCCCGCCUGGGGAGUACGGCCGCAAGGCUAAAACUCAAAGGAAUUGACGGGGGCCCGCACAAGCGGCGGAGCAUGCGGAUUAAUUCGAUGCAACGCGAAGAACCUUACCAAGGCUUGACAUACACGAGAACGGGCCAGAAAUGGUCAACUCUUUGGACACUCGUGAACAGGUGGUGCAUGGUUGUCGUCAGCUCGUGUCGUGAGAUGUUGGGUUAAGUCCCGCAACGAGCGCAACCCUCGUCGCAUGUUGCCAGCACGUUAUGGUGGGGACUCAUGUGAGACUGCCGGGGUCAACUCGGAGGAAGGUGGGGAUGACGUCAAAUCAUCAUGCCCCUUAUGUCUUGGGCUUCACGCAUGCUACAAUGGCCGGUACAAAGGGCUGCGAUGUCGUAAGGCGGAGCGAAUCCCAAAAAGCCGGUCUCAGUUCGGAUUGAGGUCUGCAACUCG
rnacentral:rRNA from 1 species